AUGACUUUGGCAGGGAUCUUCUCGCAACUAAGACUCACUGAAACAAGAGAAAGGAUUCAAACGGAUUUAAUCAUUUCACAGUUGCCCAGUGACCACAUUGCUAUUCACUGUGGUAAUGUGCCUCAUUCAGUGUUUGAACCCGAAUCUGCUCGUGAAGAUACAAGACGGAGGCUUUUUUUCUUUUUUCUUUUAGAGAGCGAGAGAGGAAAAAAACCACAGGCCUUCCCAUGGAGCCCCAGUCUUGCCCGGGAAGAGGCUGGACACUGGAAUCAAACUGUGGAACGGGGGUGUGCCAGUGGCCAGAGCUGGGGGAGCUGCUUAAAAACAUCUUCUUUGGGGCGCCUGGGUGGCGCAGUCGGUUCAGCGUCCGACUUCAGCCAGGUCAUGAUCUCACGGUCCGUGAGUUCAAGCCCCGCGUCAGGCUCUGGGCUGACGGCUCAGAGCCUGGAGCCUGUUUCCGAUUCUGUGUCUCGCUCUCUCUCUGCCCCUCCCCCGUUCAUGCUCUGUCUCUCUCUGUCCCCAAAAUAAAUAAAAACGUUGAAAA
rnacentral:lncRNA from 1 species